CUGAAUUAACAGGGAAGAGCUGUCUUACCAUUUCUAUCUUUGGGAUCUUCGGGAUUUGACUGUGAGAUGAAGCUGGGAACCAAGAGGGCUGCCUACCCAUUGUCUUUUUAAAAUUUUUAUUAUUUUUUUAACAUGGAAACUUUAUUAGAGUAUAGUUGAUUUACAGUGUUGUGUCAAUUUCUGCUGUACAACAUAGUGAUCCAGUCAUACAUAUAUAGACAUUCUUUUUCUCAUAUUAUCUUCCAUCAUGUUCUAUCCCAAGAGACUGCAUAGAGUUCCCUGUGUUGUACAGUAGGAUCCCAUUGCUUAUCAUUUCUAAAUGUAAUAGUUUGUAUCUACCAAUCCCAAACAUUUGGUCCAUCCCACUUCUUUCCCUCUUCCCCCUGGCAACCACAAAUCUGUUCUCUAUGUCUGUGAAUCUAUUUCAGGUUUGUAGAUAGGUUCAUUUGGGACAUAUUUUAGAUUCCACACAUAAGUGAUAUCAUAUGUUAUUUGUCUUUCUCUUUCUGGCUUACUUCAUGUAGUAUGAGAAUCUCUGGUUAUAUCCAUAUUGUUGCAAAUGGCAUGAUUUUUUUAUGGCUGAGUAGCAUUCCAUUGUGUAUAUGUACCACAUCUUUUUUUUUUUUUGUCUUUUGUCUUUUUAGGGCUACACCCGUGGCAUAUGGAGGUUCCCAGGCUAGGGGUCUCAUCAGAGCUAUAGCUGCCAGCCUACGCCACAGCCACAACAGCACCAGAUCUGAGCCAUGUCUGCCACCUACCCCACAGCUCACAGCAACACCGGAUCCUUAACCUAUUGAGUUAGGCCAGGUAUUGAACCUGCAUCUUCAUGGAUCUUAAUCAGUUUCGUUAAGCACUGAGCCAUGAUGGGAACUCCUAUACCACAUCUUUUUAAUCCAUUCAUCUGUCAGUGGACAUUUAGAUUGUCUUCAUGUCUUGGCUAUUGUGAAUAGUGCUGCAAUGAACAUAGGGGUGCAUAUAUCUUUUUGAAUCAAAGUUUGUCUGGGUAUAUGCCCAGGAGUGGGAUUGCUGGAUCAUAUGGCAGUUCUAUAUUUAGUUUUCUAAGGAACCUCCAUAUUAUCCCAUUGUCUUUUAUUCCUCUAUUUUGAUGAAAGCUGUUGCCCUCAAUCCCCUGUUCUUCUUUCCAUAUUUUUUAUGACUACAUAUAAAAAUAAUGUAUUAUUUGGCAUUCUUAGGAAUGAAGUAUUUUAAAUAUGUGAAUUUUCCAGGCUACUGUGGAAGCCAAACUUUUACAUUUUAAUUGUUUUUUAGAGAACAUUUUCUAAGGGCAUUUUUACUUCCUUGGCAUCACUAUUAGGACUUAUUACUGUUCUUUGUGUCAAUACAAUUCUUUGUCCAUGUAACAGCCCUGAUGUCAGGCUGUCAACUAUUGCUUAUUUGUUAUCCUCUGUUGGUGCAUCCAGGAGACACAAUUACCCUUCUGGUUUAAGUCCUUAAAUAUGAAGCAGUAAAAAUCAUACCUGUGCAUCAGGCAGGGGACACAUUUUUACAGCAGAUUUUGGACCACAGUGUGUCACUCUACUAUGGCCAGGAUUCCUGCCCUGAGCACAUAGUUCAGUUAGAUGAGUUAGUUGAGUUAGGCUUCAGUGACUGAUUCUUCAGGACUUGGUAUGUAGAAUUCUCUCCCCUUUUCCAGACUAGUUUUCCUUCCUCCUUGUGGCCUGGCUGCUUCUUGUUCAUUCUCUUGAUCUAAGCCACUUCCUGUGGGAGACCCUCUGUGACGGCUCCUGUGUACUCAUAAUACUUGGACUUCCUACCUUGUCACUUAAGGUAUCACAUUUUACUGUAAUUUCUUAUGUAAUGUCUGCGUCUCCUCCCAGAGGCCAUGCAGGCUGGCAUUGUGCUCGUUAAGAUUUCCCCAGCACAAGCACACUGGUCUCUGCACAGAGCAGGUGCAUUACAGAUACUUGUUUAAUGAGUGAUUGAACCCUUAGUACUGAAGUGAACAUAGUCCCUGCCUCGCCACCACACAGCUGGACUGAAGGCUGUCUGGGACCUGAGCAACAAUCCCAUGGGCAACAAAACAGUGAUACAUUUCUUCAGAAAAAGAGCAGCUUAUGCUACAAAAUUUGGUGUGUAAUUAGCAUCCUCGAGGAUGUGGGUUUGAUUCCUGGCCUCCCUCAGAGCGUUAAGGGUCUGGCAUUGCAGGAAGCUGCAGCAUAGGUCACAGAUGCAGUUUGGAUCUGGUGUUGCUGUGGCUGUGGUGUAGGCCAGCAGCUGCAGCUCUGAUUUGACCUCUAGCCUGGGAACUUCCAUAGCCUGAAGAAGUGGCCAUUUAAAAAAAAAAAGAAAUAUCGCUUCAGAUUUUUUAUGGAUGAAAUUACCUCGAUUUUCUGUUUCUUUCUUGCUCUGCUACCAGUAGGGCAUUAAAAUGCCAUCAUUAUGGGGCUCCCUUCUCUCUCAUGAAUGCACCAAGAAUCUGAAAGGUUUAUGUGCUUAGUGCCUGGAGAAAUAGAAGGACCUCUCACCUGACGCCACUGUUAUUGUGAUCUUUCAAACCCACACCCUGCUUCAAAGGUAGGCAUCUUGGCUAUCAUCAGUCAAGGGGGACCCAGGAAAUUUCUCUGCCCUCAUCAUCAUCACCUCUGAAAUCUUGCCACCUUGCUGUAGGAUCUGAUCACCUCUGUUUUCUUCCCUGUCCUGGGAGAUCUCUCUUUCAAUUCCAUUGAAACCGGCUGCUUCCUCCCUUCUUUCCUAGCGCAAUCAUCUCACAUAGGUCUUGUAAACAAAGACCGAAACAAAAGCCAGGAAAGAUGGUGAGUUCUCUGCAGGGUCUGCCAUACAAAUGCCUCAAAGGAGAAAGUGCCCAAAGCUUUUUGCUUAAAAUGAGGAAAGGGGGGAUUUCCUAUCAUGGCUCAGUGGUAAUGAACCCAACUAAUAUCCAUAAGGAUGUGGGUUCAAUCCCUGGCCUUGCUCAGUGGGUUAAGGAUCUGGCAUUGCCAGGAACUGUGUUAUAUGUUGCAGAUGCAGCUUGGAUUCAGCAUUGCUAUGGUUAUGGUGUAGGCCGGUGACUACAGCUCCGAUUUGACCCCUACCCUGGAAAUUUCCAUAUGCCAUGGGUGCGGCCCUAAAAAGACAAAAAAUUAAAAAAAAAAAGAUUAAAAUGAGGAAAGAGAAGAGCUCUUGUUGUGGCUUAGUGGGUUAAGAACCCACCUGGUAUACUUGAGGAUAUGGGUUCGAUUCUCUGGCUUCGCUCAGUGGGUCAGGAUCUGGCGUUGCCAUGAGCUGUGGUGUAGGUCACAGAUAUGGCUCAGAUCCCACCUUGCUGUGGCUGUGGUACAGGCUGGGAGCUGUAGCUCCAAUUCAGCUCCUAGCCUGGGAACUUCCAUAUGCCAUGGGUGCAGCC
rnacentral:lncRNA from 1 species